GAUGAACGCUGGCGGCGUGCCUAAUACAUGCAAGUCGAGCGAACAGACGAGGAGCUUGCUCCUCUGACGUUAGCGGCGGACGGGUGAGUAACACGUGGAUAACCUACCUAUAAGACUGGGAUAACUUCGGGAAACCGGAGCUAAUACCGGAUAAUAUAUUGAACCGCAUGGUUCAAUAGUGAAAGACGGUUUUGCUGUCACUUAUAGAUGGAUCCGCGCCGCAUUAGCUAGUUGGUAAGGUAACGGCUUACCAAGGCAACGAUGCGUAGCCGACCUGAGAGGGUGAUCGGCCACACUGGAACUGAGACACGGUCCAGACUCCUACGGGAGGCAGCAGUAGGGAAUCUUCCGCAAAGGGCGAAAGCUUGACGGAGCAACGCCGCGUGAGUGAUGAAGGUCUUCGGAUCGUAAAACUCUGUUAUUAGGGAAGAACAAAUGUGUAAGUAACUAUGCACGUCUUGACGGUACCUAAUCAGAAAGCCACGGCUAACUACGUA
rnacentral:rRNA from 1 species